rnacentral:misc_RNA from 1 species
AUGCAGAAGUUCAGAUGACUUAGCUGAACUCUCUGGUCCCUGCUCAGUUUCCAAGAGAUCCACAAUUUCAAUGGAGCUCGUGAAGCCCUUGUCACCAACAAUUUUAUCCUUUCUGUGAGAAAGUUCCUGAGCCACAUCACGUGAUUUAGCAUUACCAUGACUCCUAAGUUGAUAAUCAAUCUCAGUAGCGGCUAGGUCAAAUAUGUGGACAUUGAAACAUGAGGUCUGUCCAUAUUUGAAGAGUAAAAAGUACCAACAGUUGACAGAAUGAUGUUCCAUAAACUCUUGCCAACCAUCAUGAAGCCAAAUCAUUUUACCAGCCUUCUUCAGGCCCACACACCAGAAAUCAUCAGUGGGAACAAUAAUCUUGACGGUAUCAAGGAGUUCAUCUCCAUGUUCCCGGACAAAUUUGUCUGGCAACCGAAGUUGACGAUCAUCCAUGACAGAGGGCUCAACAAUGACGUAGAAACUGCCGGCCGAGUAGGAGUUGGAGCAAGA